AACGAACGCUGGCGGCAUGCCUAACACAUGCAAGUCGAACGAGACCUUCGGGUCUAGUGGCGCACGGGUGCGUAACGCGUGGGAACCUGCCCUUAGGUCCGGAAUAACUCCCCGAAAGGGGUGCUAAUACCGGAUAAUGUCUUCGGACCAAAGAUUUAUCGCCUUUGGCUGGGCCCGCGUUGGAUUAGCUAGUUGGUAGGGUAAAAGCCUGCCAAGGCGACGAUCCAUAGCUGGUCUGAGAGGAUGACCCGCCACACUGGGACUGAGACACGGCCCAGACUCCUACGGGAGGCAGCAGUGGGGAAUAUUGGACAAGGGGCGAAAGCCUGAUCCAGCAAUGCCGCGUGAGUGAUGAAGGCCUUAGGGUUGUAAAGCUCUUUUACCCGGGAUGAUAAUGACAGUACCGGGAGAAUAAGCUCCGGCUAACUCCGUG
rnacentral:rRNA from 1 species